GACAGAGGGUGCAAACGUUGUUCGGAAUUACUGGGCGUAAAGCGCGUGUAGGCGGCUAAGUAAGUCGGGCGUGAAAUCCCACGGCUCAACCGUGGAAGUGCACUCGAAACUGCAUAGCUAGAGUCCUGGAGAGGAAGGUGGAAUGCUUGGUGUAGAGGUGAAAUUCGUAGAUAUCAAGCGGAACACCGGUGGCGAAGGCGGGUCUCUGGGCAGUAACUGACGCUGAGGAGCGAAAGCGUGGGGGAGCGAACAGG
rnacentral:rRNA from 1 species